UAUCUUGACCGUGCAAAGGUAGCAUAAUCAUUUGUUCUUUAAUUGAGGACUUGUAUGAAUGGAGUAACGUAGAAGAUAUUGUCUCUAUUUUUUUUAUUGAAUUUUCUUUUUAGAUGAAGAAGUCUAAAUUUUUUAAAAAGACGAGAAGACCCUAUUGAGUUUGAUUUUUUUUUUAUAUUUAUAUAUUUUAAAAAAAAUUUAGUUGGGGCAACUGAGGAGGAAAAAAUUCUCUUUUUUUAUAUUUUGAUCCAGUUUUUCUGACAUUAAGAACGAAUUACCAUAGGGAUAACAGCGUAAUUUUUUUUGAGAGUUCUUAUCGAUAAAAAAGAUUGCGACCUCGAUGUUGGACUAAAGUUUCCAAGUGGUGUAGAAGCUGCUUUUGGUGGGUCUGUUCGACCUUUAAAACUUUACGUGAUCUG
rnacentral:rRNA from 1 species